GUAGUAGUCUCCUUGCAGGAAGCUUCCACUGGCCAAUUUGGGUAAUUUGAGCAUAAGAACAAACAAUUAUAGUAACAUAUUAAAACCCAUUAAGUAAAAUAGGAAUCCAUGAGUCCAUAUUGAUAUACAUAAAUACACAAUUAAAUAGAUGAAGAGAAAAAUUCUUCUUGUAGCUGCCCCUGACAUAGGAAGGGUUAAUAAUCACUGGAAAAAGCUUGCCAACAAACUGUGACCCGGAGGUGAGAAGGCCGGUUAGCCAAUGACGGGUAAGACCCCCUGGGGGGGCAACCUAAGCCAGGCGGCGGCCGCCCGGGGGCACAGAUGGAGAAACGAUAUCGAUAUCGGGCGCAAGAGGGACCGUUGCCUAAGAGACUUUGCCUGCUCUGAGAUAAAAAUAUAGGAGCACAGCAACAACAUGAUAAUAUCAAAACAGAGGCCAAGGGAGGGCUCCUUGAGAAAUCACUAAGAAUUCUUGGCAUUCGCUAAUUACUUCAUCCAGAACACCUGUGUAUGUUUAACAGAUGUAAGCUAUGUAUAUAUUGAAACGCUGGUUAUAAUAAACUCAGAGUGGCCAUCAGCCCUCUCCGCAUCUAUCCUGAUGUGUACAUUGGAUUGCGACACCGACAUAUGGUGACCCCGACGUGAUCCAAGAUCGGCGGCAUUAUUGGCUCUGGAGGAUGGGAAAUCCAAGAUGACAGUCCCUGCAAGUUAUGGAAUCUAGGAAGACCAAGAUCAAGGAACCAGCAGAUUUUAUGUCUGUGCCUGAAGCUUUCCAAGUGAUUUUAGCGUGUAUCCAGCAAGAACAACUGGCUAUCCAAGACCUAUCCUGUGAAUACGGUCAACACUCUAUCUAUUCAAACUCCAAAGGCUGAGAGCAGUACCCUGACGAGUAUAUCAUGAAGAGAAAUGCUUCAAUCAUAUUGUAUAAUCACGCAUUUUCCAGACAUCAGACGAUCUGAAUUAAAGAAAGGAUUUUCCAUUCACCUCAAGGCGUGCGUGCUGUUGUAGCUAACAGCCUCCAGGUAUCAGCACCUAUAGGAUCUACCUGAGUUUUUGAGUCAAGGUCAUGGACAUCCCAGGCAUCUCUCAGCCAGUCACGGAGUAUGGACACUGCCAUAGCACUGCUGGUGAAUGGAGUAGAUCUGCACCUGGGAUCCAAACCCAUGAACCCGGGCUGCUGAAGUGGAGAGCACGGAACAUUCACCACUUGGUCAUGGGGCCAGGCCCUAUUCUUUCCUAGAAAUGUUACUAUGAGCACAAGUACAAAUAUUUUCUUGGGC
rnacentral:lncRNA from 1 species